UACGGCCACAUCACGUUGAAACAUCGCUUCCCGCGCGAUCACCGAAGUUAAGCAACGUUGAGUCUGGUCAGUACCUAGGCGGGUGACCGCUUAGGAAUACCAGACGAUGUAA